UUGUCCGAAUACAUUUUGCUCCCAAACAUCGUCCUACAAGAAGGGCUAUACUGAAACGAAACAGAGAUGAUUGAAGUCUGAUUUAUAGACUAUACAAGCCCUGAAAGCAAGAACGGGGUUCACGGCAUCUUGAUACCCCCAUAUGGGGACGUUUUGGCGAUUUUAUUUAUAAGAAAGGGAUUUUACACCGGAGAGGCUUUUAAAUCUACUAACAGACUGGACCAGCUUUCUCAUCCCCACUGGCUGAUUAAUGAUUCCUCCAUGCCAACCCGGUUCUCAGAGACACCAAGUCCAGUGCCCUUGAUCCUUAAGAAGUGGCCUCCAGUGCUUAGAAUUCCAAGCAUUUGGUCCUUUGGAGAUGAGAAACCAUGGGAAGGCAGGGGCUUAUUCACCCCUGUAUCCAAAAAGUUGAGGAUGGUGCCAGGGACACAGAUGUUACCAGGGACUCCAAAAAUACUGAAUGAAAGGACAGUGGAGGUGCUUUCCUGUGGGAUCUUCCAACCUCUUCCCGCCUUCAGAGGUCAGCGAAGCAGGGUAUCACCGAAGUCCCACCUGAUGUCACUGGAACUAGUGCUCCAUGUCUUC
rnacentral:lncRNA from 1 species